AAUCUCAACCAUCCAAUCACGUAAUCAAUGGACUAAAACUUUUGUUAACGAAAUAACGAAGUCUUCGUUAACGCUAACGCUAAUCCUCGCACGUCCUUUUCGCCAACCGCUCCGCCCCGCCCGCCCCGCCUUCACCUGCUCGUCGCGGGCGCCGCCUCCCCUCCACGCCGCCGCUCGCUCGCCCCACCCUCACCGGUUGCCGCCCGCUCGGAAAAGGACAUGGGCGAGGCGCAGGACACCGGCCGCGAUGCCGCGGUGAGCAGCCCCGACGCCGGCCGACCAGGAGCAUCAUCUGUCGGAGUAGAUGGAUUUGUGGAUGGCCUGAGCCAAGGAGGACGAAGCAGAUCCCCCUCCUGCACCUGCACCUCCUCCUCUAUUAUAUUAGAAACAGUCUAUGGAAGAUGCGGCGACGGGCAAGCUGGGCAGAACUGAGCACCUCCACGGUGUAGCCACCGGUGACACGUCGUCCUUCCGGAAGUUGGACCUGCCUGCGGAGAUUCAGACUCUUAUAAUCUCAAUGCUGCCACUGAAAGAGGUUGCGAGGACAAGCAUCGUUUCAAGAAGUUGGAGAAUGCUUUGGACAUUCCAUUGUAAUCUAUGUUAGAAACUCAGGUCCUUUCAAGACGCCUCAACCUAGGACUGCCAACGGGGGGCCUCCGGUGCUGGGGUUGGGUUGCUGCCUACCUUGGGUUGACACCCGUCGCGGACACCGGCGUCGCUGAGGUUGCUGGCUGCCCUGUGGUUGGGGUUACUGUUGCUGCAUACUACAUACUAUACUGAAUCCUCCCGUGCUUGAUAGAGAGAACAUAUGACAUACGGGUGCAUUAUGCAAACAAUGGACGAUAUGCUGAUGUUUCUGCUGCAAUCUGAAAUCAGUACUUCUUCUCAGACAACUCUAGAUGGGUUAUAAAAAUUAUUACCAAAGCGUGUAUAGAAGCUUAUGAAUAUGCAUGCUACUUUGGGAUAUUGUGGUGUUAAAUUACCGCUUCUCAAAUCACAAUUUGAGGUGGUGUUUGGUCAACCAAAGGCAAAGAAUAUUAUAGCAAACAAUUGCAACAGCAAGCAAAUUCACUUCAGACCAAAGUUUGAUAAGGCAUGUGGCGAUGCUAGGACGUGUUGUAGUGCUCGGUAGCCUGCACGAUCCACAGGCAUAAGGCCAAAGUUGUGAGUGGGCUGGCUUUGGUCUAAGGUUUUUUAAAUGCAUCAAAAUUUAUAUUUGUUUGUAACCUGAAUCUUGCAUGUGGUUUUUGGAUGUAGCUACAAUUUUUUUUGCAUCGUAUGGCGGUAACACAUUAAGGCUCAGUUGUGUGUUCACAUUAAUUCAAAAAAUCUACAUAUGAACCGACUA